GAUGAAGAACGUAGCGAAAUGCGAUAAGUAAUGUGAAUUGCAGAAUUCAGUGAAUCAUCGAAUCUUUGAACGCACAUUGCGCCCGUCAGUAUUCUGGCGGGCAUGCCUGUGCGAGCGUCAUUACGCCCCUCAAGUCCCCUGUGGACUUGGUGUUGGGGAUCGGCGAGGCUGGUUUUCCAGCACAGCCGUCCCUUAAAUUAAUUGGCGGUCUCGCCGUGGCCCUCCUCUGCGCAGUAGUAAAACACUCGCAACAGGAGCCCGGCGCGGUCCACUGCCGUAAAACCCCCCAACUUUUUAUAGUUGACCUCGAAUCAGGUAGGACUACCCGCUGAACUUAAGCAUAUCAAUAAGCGGAGGA
rnacentral:misc_RNA from 1 species